UACGAGGGGGGCAAGCGUUGUUCGGAAUUAUUGGGCGUAAAGGGCGCGUAGGCGGUGCGGUAAGUCACCUGUGAAAUCUCCGGGCUUAACUCGGAGCCUGCAGGCGAAACUGCCGUGCUGGAGUAUGGGAGAGGUGCGUGGAAUUCCCGGUGUAGCGGUGAAAUGCGCAGAUAUCGGGAGGAACACCGGUGGCGAAGGCGGUUCUCUGGGCCUUACCUGACGCUGAGGAGCGAAAGCGUGGGGAGCAAACAG
rnacentral:rRNA from 1 species